rnacentral:rRNA from 1 species
AAUGAGCGCUGGCGGCAGGCCUAACACAUGCAAGUCGAACGGAUCCUUCGGGAUUAGUGGCGGACGGGUGAGUAACGCGUGGGAACAUACCCUUUGGUACGGAAUAGCCUCGGGAAACUGGGAGUAAUACCGCAUGUGGUCGAGAGACGAAAGAUUUAUCGCCAAAGGAUUGGCCCGCGUUGGAUUAGGUAGUUGGUGGGGUAAUGGCCUACCAAGCCGACGAUCCAUAGCUGGUUUGAGAGGAUGAUCAGCCACACUGGGACUGAGACACGGCCCAGACUCCUACGGGAGGCAGCAGUGGGGAAUCUUAGACAAUGGGGGAAACCCUGAUCUAGCCAUGCCGCGUGAUCGAUGAGGGCCUUAGGGUUGUAAAGAUCUUUCAGGUGGGAAGAUAAUGACAGUACCACCAGAAGAAGCCCCGGCUAACUCCGUGCCAGCAGCCGCGGUAACAC